rnacentral:misc_RNA from 1 species
AAAGUGCGAUAACUCAGGUGAAUUGCAACUGGCGCGAAUCCUUGAUACUUUGAACGCAUACUGUGCCCCGGUGUAACAGCUGGGGCGUGUUUGUUUGAGCGUCUUAUACAAAACAUCACUGCUUAAUGCACGUGGACAUGGACCUUGCAGUUUGCUCUGCAUAGUCUCAAAUACAUUGGUGAAUUACCACGGCGACUCAUCACGUUAAGUCGGUCGUUGAUAAGAAGUACAACUUCUCAAAAACGGCAGGUUUUUUUGUGAAUGCUGGGAAUUCUUAUGCCACACUGUUUCCUCAAUUUCUCGACCUCAAAUCAAGCAUGAUUACCCGCUGAAUUUAA